AGAGUUUGAUCCUGGCUCAGGAUGAACGCUGGCGGUAUGCCUAACACAUGCAAGUCGAACGGGUAUCUUCGGAUAUUAGUGGCGGACGGGUGAGUAACGCGUGAGAAUCUGCCUUCAGGAUGGGGACAACAGUUGGAAACGACUGCUAAUACCCGAUAUGACGAAAGUUGAAAGAUUUAUCGCCUGGAGAUGAGCUCGCGUCAGAUUAGCUAGAUGGUGUGGUAAAGGCGCACCAUGGCGACGAUCUGUAGCUGGUCUGAGAGGAUGAGCAGCCACACUGGGACUGAGACACGGCCCAGACUCCUACGGGAGGCAGCAGUGGGGAAUUUUCCGCAAUGGGCGCAAGCCUGACGGAGCAAUACCGCGUGAGGGAGGAAGGCUCUUGGGUCGUAAACCUCUUUUCUCAGGGAAGAACAAAAUGACGGUACCUGAGAAUCAGCUCGAUCCGCG
rnacentral:rRNA from 1 species